rnacentral:rRNA from 1 species
AUGAAGAAGCUUGCGCCACCAAUUCUCAAGGAGAUCCAGGCCUCCUCACUCAGACCGGAGGCAGAGCCGUUCACACCCAAGCGCACGACGAGGGCAGCCAAGAGAACUACGGCGCUGGGCUCCUCCACAGCCACACCGGCAGAAAAUGUGCUGCUCAGGAUGCUCGGGCUGGUCCCGGAGGAUCUCCAGGUGGACGACUCGGCAGUGCAAGAGCUCAAGAACAUAUUUGACUCGCCGCUCCGUGAGCAACAUGUGCGCGUCAUAGCGGCACUGUUUGGCAAGGCCUUGUCAGGGCAGAUGCCUGGAGUGGGAGGGGUCGAGAGGAUCUCUGCGCACUAG